rnacentral:tRNA from 1 species
UCCCUGGUGGCUGAGAGGGUAAAGCAUCCACCUGCAAUGAGGGAGACCCAAGUUUGAUCCCUGGUCUGGGAA